rnacentral:rRNA from 1 species
GACGAACGCUGGCGGAGGGGGGAACAAAGGCAAGUCGAACGGAAAGGCCCUGCUUUUGUGGGGUGCUCGAGUGGCGAACGGGUGAGUAACACGUGAGUAACCUGCCCUUGACUUUGGGAUAACUUCAGGAAACUGGGGCUAAUACCGGAUAGGAGCUCCUGCUGCAUGGUGGGGGUUGGACAGUUUCGGCGGUUGGGGAUGGACUCGCGGCUUAUCAGCUUGUUGGUGGGGUAGUGGCUUACCAAGGCUUUGACGGGUAGCCGGCCUGAGAGGGUGACCGGCCACAUUGGGACUGAGAUACGGCCCAGACUCCUACGGGAGGCAGCAGUGGGGAAUAUUGCACAAUGGGCGGAAGCCUGAUGCAGCAACGCCGCGUGCGGGAUGACGGCCUUCGGGUUGUAAACCGCUUUCGCCUGUGACGAAGCGUGAGUGACGGUAAUGGGUAACGAAGCACCGGCUCCCUACGUC